UACGUAGGGGGCAAGCGUUGUCCGGAAUCAUUGGGCGUAAAGCGCACGUAGGCGGCCCUGUAAGUCCGUUGUGAAAGUCAUGGGCUCAACCCAUGAAAGCCGGCCGAUACUGUCGGACUAGAGUCCGGAAGAGGCGAGUGGAAUUCCCGGUGUAGCGGUGAAAUGCGCAGAUAUCGGGAGGAACACCAAUGGCGAAGGCAGCUCGCUGGGACGGUACUGACGCUGAGGCGCGAAAGCGUGGGGAGCAAACAGG
rnacentral:rRNA from 1 species